GAUCCUGCGCCGAAGAUUUCCGGGGCUAAAACUUACUACCGAAGCUACGGCAUCAGUAAUGAUGGGUAGGGGAGCUUCCCAUACGGGUUGAAGCAUGACCGUAAGGACAUGGGGACAGUAUGGGAGUGAGAAUGUUGGCAUGAGUAGCGAGAUGUGGGUGAGAAUCCCACAGGCCGUAAACCCAAGGUUUCCAGGGGAAGGUUCGUCCGCCCUG
rnacentral:rRNA from 1 species